ensembl:lncRNA
GCCAAAUGAGACACAUUCCUGAAAAGGAACAUCUCUGGUAGUAGGAUAGGUUGGAGGGUCUGGUUUUUUUUUUCAUAAUGUCUUUUAAUUCUGAGCAUACAUUACUUCGAUAAUUAACGAUUUGAUAACGAUUAGAUAACGAUUAGCUACUACUUUAUUUAAAAUGAAAAGGUUCAAUCCAUUUUACUUUGCUUUUUAAAGUGUGCAAAGGCCUCUACUACCAUAAAAGAAGGUUGAGAAAGAGAACAUCCUUCUCUUUCAACCUGAAAUACUGCUUGUAGUGGUAAAUGACAGUGACGUGGUAUCUGCCUAUUAUUUCAAAAACCUGCUCCCAAAGAGGGUCCUUUCUCAUUCCAAAUAUUCCCUAGAAAGGCCAUAAUGACGUUCCCAGAGGCAGAGCUCCGGAUUCCUGUCCCGAGGAAUCUUAAUUUCAGCUGCCCCUAGCUUCGCAGAGGACAGUUCUCUGCACACUUCUGGCCUUGGCCUUUUCGCACUGGCUCCUCCCCCAGCAACGCCGGUAGGACUUCACUUUAUUGGUGGGUUCGCGGGAGAGGAGGAACUGGGCGUGGCUGGUUCUGUAACUUCGCUCUGCGGGGAUUGCGGUCUCUCACGGGUGUGCCCGCAGAGGUCUGUUCCUGUGUGCAGCACCCGGUAGAGUCCCUUUGUGCCAGAGGGCUCCCGAGUGGGGAAGCCGGGCCCUUCAGCCUGCACUCUCAGAGAGCGCGCCGGCGUGGGCGACCGGCCGAGUUCUGCAGUUCAGUUGGGAAGUCCGUUGUUGCCUCAGCCCUCCAUUGGAGAUUGGCGUCCCUGGUAGUGAGGGUCAUGUUUUGGUUCCAUUAGCCAGCUACCGUUUUGUCCUUAGUUAUUACUUAUGGACUGGAUCAACAUUAACGCUAUCAACUGUUUGUGGAUGUCGUCAUUUUUUCUCAGUUAUCCCGUGGGAUUUUCUGUGUUCAACUUGGUGGCAGCAUAGGAGGGAUUCUUUGAAGCUUUUCUGCAACUCAGAAAUGGCAACGUGAGAAAUGGGAAAAUGAUGAAGGCUGAGUAUGGACAGUGUGAACAAGGGUGAGUGCAAGAGGGUGACACUGCAGGAUCUGUAUCGCUGUAACAAUCAGAUACUAUGUAAUUUUCACGAUCCAAAAUUUAGUUGAAAAUAUCUCAGAAAAAGAAUACAGUCAGCCCAUGACUAAGCCUAUACAUUUUGCUACUUAGCAGAGAGUAGAGCCAUAUUUUUCCUUUUUUGAGUCAAUACUCCAUAAAAUGACAAAAAGUAAUUUUCCUCCUGUCAAUCUUUAGUUCAUGUUAGGUGACAACCAGGAAGUGAGCAAAUGGGUAUCUGGAAGCCAGCCUGGGGAUAAAGUAAGAAACUGUUUAGAAAACUGGAGCAGCCAACGAUAUGAAGUCAUUUAGUAUGGUGGCUCUCCUCUGUGCUAUUGGAAUUGCCACAUAAAGGCAGAGGUGCCUAAAAUUGGCUGUUAGAAUGGACUGGCAGGUGGGAGGAAUUCAGUCUGAAAACUGCCUAUCUCAAUGGCUUUGAGCAUCUAAAACAUGAUGUUCAUGAUUAGGACUCUGUUACUAAGAAGGAAUUAAAUACUAUUCUGUAUGUUUAUUUGAUCACAGAAGGGUAUUAUACUUCUCAGGGAGAUUUUCCACAGCAUUGUUUGGUGCUGCGAUUUAAGGGGAUAAACUUUCACUGUAUUAGAAAUGUGCUUACUUGCAAGACUCACCCUCCAUCUCUUGGUGUACUACCUUAGAUUACUAAGGUGUCACAAUAUAAACAUUUCAUCAACUCUUAGUUAUUAAGUAGCAUGUUUCUCCCUCAUCUACUCUGCUGCUUACCUCAGUCCUUUUAAGGAUGUGUUAAUAUCACCCUCACAAGUUAAAUCACAUUUAUUUGGUUGCUCAUGAAAGUAUAUGAGUGUGGACUUCUCCCUGCAUUUCCCUUAGUCAUAACCUAGCUCACUUUCCUCUCCCCACACAUUUUUUUAAAACCCAACAAAAUAUAAUUUGUUAGGGAUG